rnacentral:rRNA from 1 species
GAAGGGUGCAAGCGUUACUCGGAAUUACUGGGCGUAAAGCGUGCGUAGGUGGUUUGUUAAGUCUGUUGUGAAAGCCCCGGGCUCAACCUGGGAAUGGCAAUGGAUACUGGCAAGCUAGAGUGCGGUAGAGGGUAGUGGAAUUCCCGGUGUAGCGGUGAAAUGCGCAGAUAUCAGGAGGAACACCGGUGGCGAAGGCGGGUCUCUGGGCCGAUACUGACGCUGAGGAGCGAAAGCGUGGGGAGCGAACAGG